AAAGACUCAAUUUCUAGGUUUUGGUGUUCAACGUUUAACCGUCCGUCUUAUAUGAAUUUUUUUUAUGAUUAGUAUUUUCAUUAUUGUUAGAUGAUAAAACAUUAAUAAUACUUUAUGCAUGACUUAUCUUUUUAAAUUUUUUUCAUAACUUUUUCAAAUAAGACGAACGGUAAAACGUUAGGCACGGAAACCCAGGAAUUGAGUUUUU
rfam:Oryza glumipatula chromosome 1, whole genome shotgun sequence.